rnacentral:sRNA from 1 species
UGGUAAAUGUAUUUUUGCAAGACUUUUUCAAUUAAAUCUUAAUCACAUAAAAAUUAGCACAAAAAAAAAUAUUCAACAAUUAAAAAAAACAAAUCUCUGUGUUAUAUAAGUUUUGAUACUAUAUUCGAAUAAAGUGUAAUAUACAUUUUCAAUUUGUAUUCUUUAACUAAUUUAAACUAACAAAUAUAUUUGUUAAUCUUAUACCUAUCAAAACUCACAAUCGUUUCUUAUCUCUAUAGUAUUUUUGCAAGACUUUUUUGGUAGAUUUGGAUAAAAGUGCGUUCGGCUCAUAUGGUACAUUCCCCUAUUAAAUAAAUAUGGUGCACUCCUAUGUUAUUAACUAAAAUGUUUAGAUUAUAAUUCAGAGUCACAUCAUUAAUAAAAAUAAUA